UACGUAGGGUGCGAGCGUUAAUCGGAAUUACUGGGCGUAAAGGGUGCGCAGGCGGUUAUAUAAGACAGAUGUGAAAUCCCCGGGCUCAACCUGGGAACUGCGUUUGUGACUGUAUGACUAGAGUACGGUAGAGAGGGGUGGAAUUCCUGGUGUAGCAGUGAAAUGCGUAGAGAUGUGGAGGAACACCAGUGGCGAAGGCGACUCUUUGGCCUGUAACUGACGCUGAGGCGCGAAAAGC
rnacentral:rRNA from 1 species